rnacentral:rRNA from 1 species
GAUGAACGCUGGCGGCGUGCCUAAUACAUGCAAGCCGAGCGAAUGAAUUAAGAGCUUGCUCUUAUGAAGUUAGCGGCGGACGGGUGAGUAACACGUGGGUAACCUGCCCAUAAGACUGGGAUAACUCCGGGAAACCGGGGCUAAUACCGGAUAACAUUUUGGACCGCAUGGUUCGAAAUUGAAAGGCGGCCACGGCUGUCACUUAUGGAUGGACCCGCGUCGCAUUAGCGAGUUGGUGAGGUAACGGCUCACCAAGGCAACGAUGCGUAGCCGACCUGAGAGGGUGAUCGGCCACACUGGGACUGAGACACGGCCCAGACUCCUACGGGAGGCAGCAGUAGGGAAUCUUCCGCAAUGGACGAAAGUCUGACGGAGCAACGCCGCGUGAGUGAUGAAGGCUUUCGGGUCGUAAAACUCUGUUGUUAGGGAAGAACAAGUGCUAGUUGAAUAAGCUGGCACCUUGACGGUACCUAACCAGAAAGCCACGGCUAACUACGUGCCAGCCGCCGCGGUAA